UCAACACCUUGUGCAUAAAGUGAAAGGAAAGUCAAAACGCUCUUAACUCAAUUCUAAAAUAUUUGAUUACCACCGUUGAUAUCUACAAAGAAGAGUUCAUUUGGUAUUUAUAGACAAAGAAAUCAAUGAUAAGUUACAACACAAUAACUACAAUUGUAACUCCCACAAUAACUAGGCUAAUUAUGUGAUAAUUACAAUUAUAACUCCAACAAUAACUAGGCUA
rnacentral:lncRNA from 1 species